rnacentral:rRNA from 1 species
UACGUAGGGUGCGAGCGUUAAUCGGAAUUACUGGGCGUAAAGAGCUCGUAGGUGGUUUGUCGCGUUGUUCGUGAAAACUCACAGCUCAACUGUGGGCGUGCGGGCGAUACGGGCAGACUUGAGUACUGCAGGGGAGACUGGAAUUCCUGGUGUAGCGGUGGAAUGCGCAGAUAUCAGGAGGAACUCCGGUGGCGAAGGCGGGUCUCUGGGCCGAUAUCGACGCUGAGGAGCGAAAGCGUGGGGAGCGAACAGG